UAUAACAGUUGUAAUGUCCAGAGAACCCCAAAGACAAAAAAGAAAAAAAAAUCAAAUGACAAACUUGCUGUUUACGUCAAAACGUAAACCAUUUUCAUUUCCUUAAACUGUAUCUUAAAUAUGAAUAGCACCAUUGUUAGUGUACUAUCCAUUAGAACUGUUAUCGAAGUUAAGAUAAUUAUUCUAUGUUUUUCCUUUUCCCAUUUUCAUAUUUUCUUUUUAUCGGCCUUCUCUAAUGGCCAUAUUGGGAGUCUAAUUUCCGCGUCUUAUUGAAUUCUAUUCUAAUUCGACUCUGGAACCUGACAGUCCAAAUCCAGUACCAUCCUAAUAAAAAGAAUUCUAAUAUAGCGAAAUAUAAAAGCUUUUUUUUCAUUACUCUGGAUUUGGGUUCCAACCGUUUUCAACGUUUCUGCCAGCUACAACAUUCAAGUACACAACAAGAAGUCGAAAGAUUCACUCAAUUUGAUAUAAAGUGCCGUGUCGUGUUUCACCCCAAAAUAUAAACUUCAAAAUAAUUAUAUAUCUGGAAAUUCCUGGCUAAUUCCCCAAAUAACUAAGCUGAGAAGAUCGACAACCUAGGAAUUGUGGAUUUACUAAGAGGAAGACUAAGAGGAUUUACUAAGAGGAGACUGCCUUAAUACAACAAGAGGAUUGUGAUUCUUUAUUUACAAUAUUACAAUGAAGGGUCCUUCGUCUUCUCGUUAUUCGGAAUUUGCCUGCAGGUUGUGCCGCAAAAAUACCAAUAAGAUGGUUACCCCUCUUGAUAUCACCACCCCCAAGGACUCUUCAGAUACUACCGGCUCAAUACCGAGGUCAACAUCGACAUCCAGUAUUACCUCUUUGUCGGCACUUCUUAGGCAGAAUGCCACCCCUCUUCUUCCUACUGCAGUCGUCAAAAUCAACGGAGCAAAUAGCACACAGUUGGCAAGGUGUUUAUUGGAUUCCGCGGCCCCCAUGAGCUGCAUUUCCAAACGCUUCGUAGAUAAGUUGGGGUUGUCUACGCUCGAGUUGGAAGAUGAAGUUAUGUGCCCCGUCACCUUGACAUCCUGCGUCGAUUCCAAGACAAAGAUAGAGGCUAUAUUGCGAAUGAGGAACAGGAUUGGAAUUACAACUCCUAAGCAAUCGCUGCCCGAGUCUUCAAAACUCAGUUUCAAAAACUUCGUCCUAGCAGAUAGCAAAUUCUAUAAGGCAGCUUCUGUUGAUAUCGUCAUUGGUGUUGACAUAUAUUCCAAAAUUAUUGUCGACGGCAUCUUUAUUCGCCAUGGACUUCCUACAGCUCAAAAUACCCUUUUCGGAUUAGUGCUAUAUGGAACAUUUUCAAAUUAAUACAAAUAAUUGUACUCUCUUCCACCACUUUUAUUCUGAAUUUACGAUACCUUUUUUUUAAAUACUAAUAUGCCAAUUGAAAUCGCUUGAAGACAUAUUGUAUUAUGAUAUAAUAAGUUAUGCAUUAAGUCAUUUAGUCAUAUGAAUUUAGUCCUAAAUGAAUUGAUUAUAUAAUUGUCAUGUCCCCUUGCCAUGGGGGGCGGAAUGUUUACGUCAAAACGUAAACCAUUUUCAUUUCCUUAAACUGUAUCUUAAAUAUGAAUAGCACCAUUGUUAGUGUACUAUCCAUUAGAACUGUUAUCGAAGUUAAGAUAAUUAUUCUAUGUUUUUCCUUUUCCCAUUUUCAUAUUUUCUUUUUAUCGGCCUUCUCUAAUGGCCAUAUUGGGAGUCUAAUUUCCGCGUCUUAUUGAAUUCUAUUCUAAUUCGACUCUGGAACCUGACAGUCCAAAUCCAGUACCAUCCUAAUAAAAAGAAUUCUAAUAUAGCGAAAUAUAAAAGCUUUUUUUUCAUUACUCUGGAUUUGGGUUCCAACCGUUUUCAACGUUUCUGCCAGCUACAACAUUCAAGGUAAAAAAAGUGAUCUUGGAUUUUGUUUGGGCUCUAAGAGCAAGUUGUCCACCAUCACACUCACGGUAGAUGCUUCCAAAGCUUUACCAGGCAAUUCAGCCGUUUGCCUGAACACUUGCCAACAAACAAAACCAGGUGAGAUAUUUUCAACUGUAACGAUCCAAUCGAAUACAGGCUAAUAACAGAUUUGAUUCUCUAGUUUCAUUACUGCCAAUUGCCCCAUGGUGGUGGUUAUUGGAAAAAGAGAUGAAGGAAAAUGCU